GCUAGUAAAAGACACGAAGCAUGUGUGGCUGGACACAAGUCAAAGUCCAGAUUCCUGCUCUGUGGUGAUAAAGGUGUUUCUGAAGAGAUAAGAAGUCGGCUCCAUAACAGACUUCCUCUAUCUCUACUUCUCCAGUCUUCAGUUUCUGACACCGGCAUUGCAACACAGCUUUCAACUGCACAUAUGUGUCAAGUGAUAAAAAAAAAAAAAUUGGAGGAAUAUCAAUAACAGUCUUACUGGGAGUGACGGUUGAAAGAAGAAACUAUUACCCCUUAGUAGCCUAGCAUGGGUGACAAAUUUGAUCCAUUUGAGCUUGGGAGGGAGGAAAGGGGAGUUUGGGAACUGAUGUCACCACUUGAGAGCAACCCUAAACCGAAACCCUGCAUGUGUCCUAGGCUGCCUUGCGCUUUGUCGUAGCAACCUGGAGGAGUUGAACUUUGCCAGACUUCGAUGCUGCUUUACUGCCGAGUCCUCUGAAUCAUGCUGCUGAUAUUAGAUCCCUUCCCCAUGAAUCUCAGGCUGGACUUUGACCAAGCUCUUUGGAGUGGAUUCUGUUUGAAGCACUUUUGGUCCUGCGUUGGUUAUCCCUGUGUCCUUGCUGCAGGAAACCCAAGUUGGACCUUGAGCUGAGCACAAGGCUCUCGUGCACACACAUUGGGCACAGCCAGACAAUUCUAUGAAUCUAAUAAAAUAUCUUCUCUUUCACCUUUA